ensembl:lncRNA
GUCGAACGCAGAUUCACUGAGCGCUCAACACAGACAGCAUCGUCAGAAGGAAAGUUGAUAAAAUAAAUUAAAAAUUUUGUAUUGUUCGAUACAUAUGCGUACCGAACCGAAAACACUGUAUCGAACGGUUCAAUAUCGAUACGAAUAUCGUUGCACCCCUAAUAUAUAGUAUGUAUUUCACUUCCACCAGACCAGCUAACCUUCACAGCACCCAUCAUAACCUUGCACUCAAGUGAAUAGAGAAUUGGGUCACAACAUCUGCCAUGGAGCUGCUAUUAUGUAAUCCUGGAUUAUUCUCUGUGUUUAACACAGAUUUCAGUAUGAGGUGAGAGGAAUGGUUAAAGGACAGUCUGACAUUUGAGGAAAUAUGUUUUCUUUAGGUUGGAAGAAACACUAGGCGAUCAGUGCAGAGUGUUUUAUGUGCACAAAUCUAUUUAUCUUAAUCCAAAAAUGGAAGCUUCCUUCAAUGGUGGCUUUAACAACCCCUGGACUACAGAACAUGUAUAUUCUCUAUGCACAAUAUACAACAGAUGUAAGAAAUCUACAAAAAAGGUAAACUCUUUUAGUAACACUCAGUUGUCUUUGACAAGUACCAGGUGAUAUUGGCUCAAGCCCUGAAUCUUUUUCACUUUCUUUUUUUUUUUUUUUUUUUUUUUUUGUUAUUCUCUUGUUGUUAUUCUCUUUUUUUUUUUGUUAUUCUCUUUUUGUUAUUCUCUUUUUCACUUUCAUCACGACCCUGGCUCAAAGGGAAGAACAAAUGAUAAAGACCAAGCAUGAUUUAUAAGAAAUGUAAAUUCAUCAAUAAAACAAGUUAAAUGUAUAAUUUCUUUAUCACUAAUGUUUGUAGUGUGUGGAUAUGUAGACCUAUGCUGUGUACGUACAUCAAGAGAUAAUGCAAAGAAAGUUCAAACAAGCCCGACUGACCUUACAGGUAUACUGCGAUGGAAGUUUAACACAACCAGGCUUUCUUUGCAUUAGCCAACAAGCCCCUCAGAUGCAGAUAAUGAGUAUUGUUGAUAGUGGUUAUCAACUUCCUCUGUUAGUUGGGCUUUCUGCUUCAGGCUCUGUGUACACUCACAUAGAAAGGAAACGACUCAUCUCGCAUCAUAUGACC